GACGAACGCUGGCGGCGUGCUUAACACAUGCAAGUCGAACGGAAAGGCCCUGCUUUUGUGGGGUGCUCGAGUGGCGAACGGGUGAGUAACACGUGAGUAACCUGCCCUUGACUUUGGGAUAACUUCAGGAAACUGGGGCUAAUACCGGAUAGGAGCUCCUGCUGCAUGGUGGGGGUUGGAAAGUUUCGGCGGUUGGGGAUGGACUCGCGGCUUAUCAGCUUGUUGGUGGGGUAGUGGCUUACCAAGGCUUUGACGGGUAGCCGGCCUGAGAGGGUGACCGGCCACAUUGGGACUGAGAUACGGCCCAGACUCCUACGGGAGGCAGCAGUGGGGAAUAUUGCACAAUGGGCGGAAGCCUGAUGCAGCAACGCCGCGUGCGGGAUGACGGCCUUCGGGAUGUAAACCGAUUUCGCCUGUGACGAAGCGUGAGUGACGGUAAUGGGUAAAGAAGCACCGGCUAACUACGUG
rnacentral:rRNA from 1 species